rfam:Candidatus Harrisonbacteria bacterium RIFCSPLOWO2_02_FTLL_41_13b rifcsplowo2_02_scaffold_35217, whole genome shotgun sequence.
GCGGGUAUCGUAUAAUGGCAUUACCUUAGCUUUCCAAGCUAAUGACAGGAGUUCGAUUCUCCUUACCCGCU